AUGGAGAGAUGCUUUCUACUGAUUCUAAUAUUCACACCAGGCAUUUUAUCUGACAGCAUUCAACCAAAAGACAAAGAAACUACUAUUUACAGAACAGAAGAAGAGCGUGUAACGCUGAGCUGUUCAUAUGAUACCAGCAGCAGUUAUGUCUAUCUCUACUGGUACAGACAGUAUCCUAACAGAGAACCAGAAUAUUUACUGUAUAAAGGUGCCCGAUCACGGAUCGGUUAUGGGGAUAUACCAGAUCGGUUUCAGUCGACUGCAUCUGAAUCAUCCACUGAACUCACUAUUAAGAGUGUAACUCUGUCAGAUUCAGCUCUCUAUUAUUGUGCUCUAAGAUGGUAUCGCCAAUAUCCUGGGCAAGCUCCUCAAUAUCUUUUAGUCAUUCUAUAUUCUACUGGGAAAGUUUCACAAAGGUCAGAAAUUGUGGAUCAAGAUCCUAGAUUCUCUGGCAAACUGAAUGACAAGAAAACCCAUGUGGAUCUGAUCAUCUCCUCUGCUGCUGUAUCAGACUCUGCUCUGUACUACUGUGCCCUGCAGCCCACAGUCACAGGAAACACAACAUUGUACACAAACUAA